GGCCCCCAAAUAAAGAGCGAGAACAUUUAUAUAUUAACCGAAAACUAUAUCAUUCAUUAAACGUUUUAAUAAUCAGUGAUUUAAAUGGAAAAAUACUUGCUGUAAACAGUGGUCAUGGAGGAAGAACUCAUGACGCACGUGUUUGGAAUGCUUCUCACAUUUCGUUGCAUUUAGAGCAACAAUUUCAAAAUGGACAAACAAAUACUUGGUUAUUAGNUAUAAUUUGAAACAUAAUUAUUAAUGUUAAACAAAAUUAUUAAUGAGAUUCCGGAUAUCCCCAAUUACCUUAUUUAAUGACACCAAAAUUAAGACGACCGGAAAGAUCACCUGGAAUGUUAAAAGGACGAUGGAGAUGCCUGAGGAAAGAAAGAGCAUUACAUUACUUUCCAGAAUUCUCUGCUCUUAUUGUAAAUGCUUGUUGUGUACUCCAAAAUAUNGCAAAAUAUUACAAUGUUCCGCAACCAGAAAUGUACUAUGAUGAAGUAGACGAAGAGGAAAGAAAUAUUCAAAUAUAUGACGUAGAAGAAAGAUUAGAUGGAAACGAGAUUCGAGAACGAAUUAUACAGAGAUAUUUUACUUGAAAACAUAAACGAUUGUAUAUUUCAUAACUGUGAUAAUUGAAUAACAAUACAGAUAUAUCAUGUAUAUAUAUAUUAUUAAUGAAAGUUUUGAAAGUUUUUAAUAAUUUUAUUAAUGAAAGACAA